rnacentral:lncRNA from 11 species
GAGGGGUGAAGAGUCCCUUGGAUCCCGUUGAACAAGACCCAGUUGUGUCCCUUCCCGAAUUUCUGGACUGAGACCUUUGGAUCUUCUGGGAAUGAAGUGAGAACAGCAGUGGGAAGAACUAAAAAAAACAGAACCAGUAAUUUCUUACCUUCAAUGAAAUCCAGGGUAUUUAUGUACGCAUGGCAACACAUGACAAUUUUACCGCAGUGAAGUGUCGAUGGCCUGUUGCCCUACCUUGUGGGAGCCUCCCCAAAGUGAAACCUGGAUCCCGAUCACUAAGAGGAGGAAGCAUUGAUGCCAAUUUGCAGCUCUGUGGGAAUGGAUGGAUGACUGCAGAUGAUGCACCUCUUCAUUCAGUAUUAAAGAAACAAGGAUGUCUGUGGGGAGGCAAAGAAGAACCUCCAGAUAUUCCCACAGUGGAGACGUGGGACAAUAGGAAUGGCUUCCAGAAAAAAAAUAUGGAGAACACAGUCGCACAUGACUUUUCUGAGCUAUCCAGCUCUCAAUCAAGACAACAUCCCAAUGAGCAGGAAGUAAGCAGUGCAGCUGUGGAGACUGCUCAGAUCAAAGACAAACUCAAGAAGAGGAGAAUGUCUGAGGGCACACUUACAUCAAAUAAAGGCUUCCUUGACCCUGCUGGUCCCAAAGGACCUGCCCUGAAACCAGCCGUUUCCAGAUCUGCCUCUCAAAGACUCUUGAUCACUUCUAAGCCUAUGCCUCCAAUUCAGAGCAUUCCCACUUCCCCAGAGACCAGCAGAGACCAGGAAACAAAGCAGAAAGGGUUGAAGAAUGCCACAGAGUGCUUAGAAACUGGAGACAAUCAUUCACCAAAGGCCGAAGCAGCCACCCAACAGGUCUUACAUGGUCAUAAUGAGAAUCUGAGAAGAUCUUUAGGUGCUGCUUUGAUCCCACCCAUCCCCACAUCAGCAAGAGUUCAUGAAGAACGUUCUCAGAAGUUUCAGGAACCUCUUCCAAGCUCAUCACAGUUUGAACCUGCUCCUUUUCCUACUGAGGAUUUCCCAUUGCUUAAGUAAACUUCUUCUCCUGCUUCUUGCUCUAUUUUGGGUGUGUGAAUUGCGACUCCUGAUUUAUUGGACUAUAAUGUUAAUCAGCUCUAGCCAAUGAUGAGGAAUGCUAGAAGUAUCAGUCCAGCAACAUCUGGGGGGCAAUAUAUGGUAAUUUUCACCCCUAGCCUUCCAUCAUCUACUAUCUUCCAAAUGUGCUGAAC